ensembl:lncRNA
CAAGUCCCCGAGGAGCAGCUCCGAGGCCCGAGCGCGCGGCUGAGAGGCGCCGCCGCCGCCGCCGCCGCCGGGAUGCGCUCUGCCUAGCGAGACUGCCGAGAGACGCCUGAAGGCCACCGCGCCAAGGACACGCGGCCCGCCGCUCCUCGCGCGCCCGAGCCCGCACGCCGCCAGUGCCGGAGCCGCGGAGAGCGCGAGCGAAGGGCGGCAGGAGGGAGAGCGCGCGGGAGGCAGCCCCUCCUCAGCGAGCCAUGCGUGCCGCGAGCAGCUGAGGAGCCGCCAGGCGCCGCUGCCAAGUCUCCGCUCCGCUUUUGUCUUGCCCUCCAGUGAAUGGGAAGAUGGAGAUGGAUGUGGAGGGAGUUUCUCCGCGCCCGGAGCCCAUCCCCCGCUCCCAGGGGGCUGGCGGAGCCUGCCCGGCGCCGCCACCGCCGCCCCAGCCCCAGCCCCAGCCGCCGCCGCCGCCGCAGCAGCUGGCUCAGGAUGAACUGCCCGGCGAGAGUGCCGGCGCCGAGGACAGCGACGAUCCCGAGGCGAGAGCCAGCGGCGAGCGAGGAGAGGGCAAGAGCUGCUGCAACUUUUCCUUAUUUCAAGGUGCACGUCAGUCGGCCAACCUCAUGGUGGCAUCUGGUUCCUUUGAAUUCAAGCUUGAUCACACAACUGACAUCACAGCCUGCGAGGCGAUGGGUACCGCAAUGAGCUCACCACAAAUCUCCAAGACUCCAAGCCACUCUCUGUUCCCAAGCAUAAAGCUAUGCUUCUGGAGGGGCAGCAAGAAACAACCUGGGACCAGGCUCCACUUCUUGGCAAGAGGACAGAGCAUCUUCUCGGGUGUCCAGGGGGCUGCUGAGGGAUCCUGAGGAAGAUGUGCUGGUCUGUGGGACAGAAAGGCAGCAGAAGAGCCCGCAAGUGCUGGAGCAGAACUCAAGCCGUGUCACUCACUGCAGACUCAAGUGUGCUGUGCUACAGCUCUGGAUUGGACUCUUUUCCUUUGCCAUCACCCACGUAACACAUGGUUCUGGAUGCUUUGGACUGGUUGGCUUUGUUUUUCUUUCUUGUCUUUUCCUUUUCUUGGCCCUUGGAAAUAUAUAAAAAAAGAAUUGCUUGAAAAAACUGUAAUUCUUUGCCAAAAUUAGCUUCAUUUAUGAACAAAUUCUAAUCCUAGUGAUUUUCUGAAAAGGAAUCCCAGGCUGCCAAGUAAAUGAGGCUGUGGGGUUUGAUUUGUCCAGUACUGAUCCUUACAUCAAAAAUACAUUUUUAUUAUUUUUUUUUUAAUUUGGAUACAGGUAAUGGCCCGAGUUACAUUUGCUUAACUACUGAAGUGACCUCAAUGUGUUAUCACUUAGAGUUGAAACACAAUCAAACACACAUUAUCCUUGGAGCUCUUGCAUGCUAUUUGAUAUACAGGUAGCACUACAAAGAAACACAGCCCUUACUGGUUGAAAUUUAAUUUCUGUUUGAUCCUGCAGUAGAAUGGUAGAGAUUAUAAAUUUCAUACAUGACUUUAAAAUGCCUUCAGUGUAGGCUGGUCAAUAGUGAGUAGUUUUGAAAUGCCAUUUUCUAAGGCAAAGCAGGAAUUGGAGAUCAACUGACCUCGUCAGCAGUGUUGCUCAG